rnacentral:rRNA from 1 species
UACGUAGGGUGCAAGCGUUGUCCGGAAUUAUUGGGCGUAAAGAGCUCGUAGGCGGUUUGUUGCGUCGGCUGUGAAAUCCCGGGGCUCAACCCCGGGCCUGCAGUGGAUACGGGCUGGCUAGAGGCAGGCAGGGGAGAACGGAAUUCCUGGUGUAGCGGUGAAAUGCGCAGAUAUCAGGAGGAACACCGGUGGCGAAGGCGGUUCUCUGGGCCUGUACUGACGCUGAGGAGCGAAAGCGUGGGGAGCGAACAGG